GGCAAGUCUGGUGCCAGCAGCCGCGGUAAUUCCAGCUCCAAUAGCGUAUAUUAAAGUUGUUGCAGUUAAAAAGCUCGUAGUUGAAUUUCGGGGUUCUACCGUUGGUCGGGCUUUGUCUGUACUGGUGUGUAGAAUUUCUACCUUCUGGGGAACCAUCAUGCUAUUAAUUUAGCGUGGUGGGAAACCAGGACCUUUACCUUGAAAAAAUUAGUGUGUUCAAAGCAGGCUUAUGUCUGAAUACAUUAGCGUGGAAUAAUAGAAUAGGACGGUGGUCCUGUUUUGUUGGUUUCUGAAUCACCGUAAUGAUUAAUAGGGAUAGUUGGGGGCAUUAGUAUUCAAUUGUCAGAGGUGAAAUUCUUGGAUUUAUUGAAGACUAACUACUGCGAAAGCAUUUGCCAAGGAUGUUUUCAUUAAUCAAGAGCGAAAGUUAGGGGAUCGAAGACGAUCAGAUACCGUCGUAGUCUUAACCAUAAACUAUGCCGACUAGGGAUCGGAUGAUGUUAAUUUUUUAAUGACUCAUUCGGCG
rnacentral:rRNA from 1 species